rnacentral:rRNA from 1 species
AUUGAACGCUGGCGGCAGGCCUAACACAUGCAAGUCGGACGGUAGCACAGAGAGCUUGCUCUUGGGUGACGAGUGGCGGACGGGUGAGUAAUGUCUGGGGAUCUGCCCGAUAGAGGGGGAUAACCACUGGAAACGGUGGCUAAUACCGCAUAACGUCGCAAGACCAAAGAGGGGGACCUUCGGGCCUCUCACUAUCGGAUGAACCCAGAUGGGAUUAGCUAGUAGGCGGGGUAAUGGCCCACCUAGGCGACGAUCCCUAGCUGGUCUGAGAGGAUGACCAGCCACACUGGAACUGAGACACGGUCCAGACUCCUACGGGAGGCAGCAGUGGGGAAUAUUGCACAAUGGGCGCAAGCCUGAUGCAGCCAUGCCGCGUGUAUGAAGAAGGCCUUCGGGUUGUAAAGUACUUUCAGCGGGGAGGAAGGCGACGCGGUUAAUAACCGCGUCGAUUGACGUUACCCGCAGAAGAAGCACCGGCUAACUUCGUGCCAGCCGCCGCGGUAA